rnacentral:lncRNA from 1 species
CACAUAACACGUAACACGUAAACAUAAUAUAUAGAUGCAAAAAUCCUAAGAAAAGCGGAUAAAACAUAUAACGCAUAAGCCCCAUAAACACACAACCUACCUAUUACAUCGGAGAGUUUAACUAUAAUCUAAAUGGGGAAAGUAUGAAAUAAAUCUACAUAUCCUAUCUAUUACAUUGGUCUAUCUAAUUACAAUUUUUGUAAAAAAAAAUAUUACAUAUCUAUUACAUCUUGAGGUAUUUAAACACCUCUCAAAUAAUUAAAAAAUUAACUAAACAAACAUAAGAGAAUUGGAAUAAACAUUUGAAUCAAAUAAAUAACAAAACAUAUAAAAAUUAUAUAGACACAUAAGAGCACGUAUGAGCACAUAAGAGCACGUAAUUGACAUUUAAAUGAUAAUAGGGGUAUCUCCCUUUUGAAAUGGUGACUAAAUGGAAGUCAAAUUACCCUAUUUAUACUCAAAAUAAAAAAAGAAUCAUGACACCAAUUUAAUUGAAAAUAAUAAUAAUGAUAAAAAUACUGAACUCAUAUUAAUAUGUCAAAUAUAAAGAAACUUAAGGGCAUCUAAAAAUUACAAGUUAAAUAUAUUCAAAAGUAACACAAUGAGCUAUUAAAGAAAAAAAAAUCAUAAUCAAAAGAGUCAAAAUUCACUAGGGACUAAAUUGCAAAAAAUGGAAAAAUUUUUGAGGCUAAAAAUACAAUUUUUCCAAAGUUUAAGGGUUAAAAUUAAAUAAAAGAUAAAGUUCAGGUGCCAAAGUGCACUUAAUAUAAGGGCCUAAGUGAAAGAAAUUUAAAAUAUUCUAGGCCACAGUAAAAUUACUCCAAAAAUCAGAGGCUAAAGUGAAAAUUUUGGUUUUUGAUUUGGACAAGAAAAAAAGGCCAUCGGGCCUUUCUUUUAUUUUUGCUUGGGCCGGAUACUACCUAAGCCCAGCCGAAACCCAAAAAAAAAAAAGCGAUCCAACCCAUCCUUUUAUCACUCAAGCCUGACCAAAAAAGCAUGGACUCUGACCUCCUAACCCAAAUCGAAACCCAAAAGAAACAAACCAAAACCAUUCCCAAAACCCAACCAAAAAUAACCAUAAGCUUACCAGAAAAAAAACAUUUAGCCCAAUCCUUUUUCUUUUCUCUUCUUUUUCUUUUCUUUCCUUUCUUUUCUUUUCGUUCUUCUUUCUCCCCCUUCCGUAUCUUCUUCUUCUUGCCUGGCAACAUGAAGCUCCUCGCAACUGGUGGCCUCCGGCGGUGCCGCUGUCGGACCGGUGGCAAAUUUCUCAGUCACCAAAUUUUCUCAAAAUACAUCUCCUCACUCGGUUUUUCGCGAGAUUCUAUUUUUGGCCUUAGUUUUUACAAAAAAUGAACCGAAAGUGGCGAAAAUAGCAAAAGGCAGCCCAAUUUUUAUUUUUUUCAAAUUACCAUAUCUUUCACAAAAAAAAACAUAAAAAUUAUACUACAAAACUCCUUAUAAUUUCUAUAUUACAACUAUGACUAUGAUCUUAUUUUGACAAAAACACAACAACAAAAGUCUAAAUUAAGGUAAAACAGCCCCUAAUUUUGAAAAAAUUCAUUCCUUGCUUUUAGGUCAAAACUUAAAUUUUGGACAAUCAAACAUCUUUUCCAGGCCCUGUACUAGCUACGGGUCAUCCAUUUUAACAAAACUAUGCAUAAAAAUUCACUAAUUUUGAUUAUUUUUCAUUUUGGCAUUUUUUCAAACAGUUAAUAUGCAUGUACAAAAACCAUUUUCUUUUCCUUAAUCUAGCUCAAGUCAUUUCCCAACAACAUAAUGAUAACAAAACCAACAAGAGAAAGAAACAAACUAACGUCUAGACAUGCUUAUAGUACGGGACAUAAAGAACUUGAGUCAUCAAGGAAAAUUUCAGCACCAACUUUGAAUUUAAGGCAAGGAACAGCAAAGGAAAAGCAAAAAUGAAAACCUUACCUUGUCUUGCAGUGGAGAAAUUACACAGCGGUAGCGGCAAUGGCGAUUUUUGAUGAUGAUAACCUCCCCUACUUGUUUUCUUAGCCUUUUCUUUCUGUUUUCUUUUCUUUUCUCCUUGUAUCCGAGAAAGAGGAAUUGGGUGUGUGAAAUUGGAAGGGGAGAGCCGAGAGUGAUUUGGGGUUUUUUCUUAGUUAUCUGAUGGUGUGUUUGUCUCUUGUGUGUGUUUUAGAGAGAAGAUGUUGUGAGUUGAGAGCAAGAAAACCAAAUGGCCGAGAGAAUCUUCUGGAGUGGAGUCCUCUUUUCCUAGUUUUCUGAUGGUGUGUUUUCUAUUGGGAGAAAUAAGAA